rnacentral:rRNA from 1 species
AUUGAACGCUGGCGGCAGGCUUAACACAUGCAAGUCGAACGAGUGGCGGACGGGUGAGUAAUGUCUGGGAAACUGCCUGCUGGAGGGGGAUAACUACUGGAAACGGUAGCUAAUACCGCAUACCAUCGGAUGUGCCCAGAUGGGAUUAGCUGGUAGGUGGGGUAACGGCUCACCUAGGCGACGAUCCCUAGCUGGUGGGAGAGGAUGACCACCCGCACUGGAGCGUGGACAGGGUCCAGACUCCUACGGUAGGCAGCAGAGGGGUAUAUUGGACAAUGGGCGCGAGCCUGAUGCAGCCAGGCCGCGUGUAUGGAGGAGGCCUGGGGGUUGUAAAGUACUGUCAGCGGGGAGGCGUUACCCGCAGAAGAAGCACCGGCUAACUCCGUGCCAGCCGCCGCGGUAAUAC